UCCUCACUCUUUCACUACAGCUCCACUAGGACUUACUACUUUCUCUUAAAGCUCAGCAAACCACUGCAGCUGAUCUUUUUGUGUUUCUUUCCUAUUACACUAGCAAAUUUGUCAUGGCAUUUUUACCCAGAGCCCUUCUUCUGCUGCUGCUUGCAGAAGUUUGUAUUCAACUGAGUGGAGCUGAAGAACCAGAUGUGACACUGUUUGAAUCAAUUUGAACAGAUAUGUCCCAAAAGAAGAAAUUGAAGAGUU